rnacentral:rRNA from 1 species
GAUGAACGCUAGCGGGAGGCCUAACACAUGCAAGCCGAGCGGUAUUUGUUCUUCGGAACAGAGAGAGCGGCGCACGGGUGCGGAACACGUGUGCAACCUGCCUUUAUCUGGGGGAUAGCCUUUCGAAAGGAAGAUUAAUACCCCAUAAUAUAUUGAGUGGCAUCAUUUGAUAUUGAAAACUCCGGUGGAUAGAGAUGGGCACGCGCAAGAUUAGAUAGUUGGUGAGGUAACGGCUCACCAAGUCAAUGAUCUUUAGGGGGCCUGAGAGGGUGAUCCCCCACACUGGUACUGAGACACGGACCAGACUCCUACGGGAGGCAGCAGUGAGGAAUAUUGGACAAUGGGUUAGCGCCUGAUCCAGCCAUCCCGCGUGAAGGACGACGGCCCUAUGGGUUGUAAACUUCUUUUGUAUAGGGAUAAACCUACUCUCGUGAGAGUAGCUGAAGGUACUAUACGAAUAAGCACCGGCUAACUCCGUG